UGUGUUCGUAUCGAUAGCAUAGAUAGGGCUGCAAAAACUGCACUACCGACGCGACGCUUUACUGUUUAUAUUUAUUAUAUUUCUUUAUUUCUGCCAGGAACGCCACGAUAUGCCGGCAACUGGAAACAGACGAGUGAAAAGACCAUAUAUGAGGCGAAUCUCUACAAGCGCCACCAGCUGAAUAUGCAUUUUCUUACCAACCUGCCUACCAGACACACACCCACCUAUUUGCCAUAGCGUGGUGCAUGAUUGUGGUGAAAGAUUGCGGUGAAAUCAUUUGUUGCCUCCUGUUAUGACGCUACACAUGUUAUUUCUCUUGGCUAGGAACAGCCCGCUGUUAGCUAGCCUGCCGUCCCUGCUGCUCCUGCUGUACCUGCCGAUGAUAAGCCAGUUGUGGCUUAUGAGCGUUGGGCUUUGCAGGUGGCCCGCGCUGAGGACGAGGAGUAACCAUUCAAUAACCAAUAAAAAAAACUUAU